rnacentral:rRNA from 1 species
UGCCUUGAAGAUCGGAGUGCUUGCACUCUGUGAAACAAGAUACAGGCUAGCGGCGGACGGGUGAGUAACACGUGGGUAACCUGCCCAAGAGAUCGGGAUAACACCUGGAAACAGAUGCUAAUACCGGAUAACAACAGGUGAUGCCUAUCAACUGUUUAAAAGAUGGUUCUGCUAUCACUCUUGGAUGGACCUGCGGUGCAUUAGCUAGUUGGUAGGGUAACGGCCUACCAAGGCGAUGAUGCAUAGCCGAGUUGAGAGACUGAUCGGCCACAUUGGGACUGAGACACGGCCCAAACUCCUACGGGAGGCAGCAGUAGGGAAUCUUCCACAAUGGACGCAAGUCUGAUGGAGCAACGCCGCGUGAGUGAAGAAGGGUUUCGGCUCGUAAAGCUCUGUUGUUGGUGAAGAAGGACAGGGGUAGUAACUGACCUUUGUUUGACGGUAAU